UUGCUAGGGGGGCCCAAAGGGCUGAGACUGCUGUCUGCAUCGGACAGCUGACCCUCACUACUUGAACCGGAUAAUACCGGCGUAAGGAAGCAGUUUUU
rnacentral:ncRNA from 1 species